rnacentral:rRNA from 1 species
UUAAGCGACUAAGCGUACACGGUGGAUGCCUAGGCAGUCAGAGGCGAUGAAGGGCGUGCUAAUCUGCGAAAAGCGUCGGUAAGCUGAUAUGAAGCGUUAUAACCGACGAUACCCGAAUGGGGAAACCCAGUGCAAUACGUUGCACUAUCGUUAGAUGAAUACAUAGUCUAACGAGGCGAACCGGGGGAACUGAAACAUCUAAGUACCCCGAGGAAAAGAAAUCAACCGAGAUUCCCCCAGUAGCGGCGAGCGAACGGGGAGGAGCCCAGAGUCUGAAUCAGUUUGUGUGUUAGUGGAAGCGUCUGGAAAGUCGCACGGUACAGGGUGAUAGUCCCGUACACCAAAAUGCACAGGCUGUGAACUCGAUGAGUAGGGCGGGACACGUGACAUCCUGUCUGAAUAUGGGGGGACCAUCCUCCAAGGCUAAAUACUCCUGACUGACCGAUAGUGAACCAGUACCGUGAGGGAAAGGCGAAAAGAACCCCGGCGAGGGGAGUGAAAUAGAACCUGAAACCGUGUACGUACAAGCAGUGGGAGCACCUUCGUGGUGUGACUGCGUACCUUUUGUAUAAUGGGUCAGCGACUUAUAUUUUGUAGCAAGGUUAACCGAAUAGGGGAGCCGUAGGGAAACCGAGUCUUAACUGGGCGUCUAGUUGCAAGGUAUAGACCCGAAACCCGGUGAUCUAGCCAUGGGCAGGUUGAAGGUUGGGUAACACUAACUGGAGGACCGAACCGACUAAUGUUGAAAAAUUAGCGGAUGACUUGUGGCUGGGGGUGAAAGGCCAAUCAAACCGGGAGAUAGCUGGUUCUCCCCGAAAGCUAUUUAGGUAGCGCCUCGUGAACUCAUCUUCGGGGGUAGAGCACUGUUUCGGCUAGGGGGCCAUCCCGGCUUACCAAACCGAUGCAAACUCCGAAUACCGAAGAAUGUUAUCACGGGAGACACACGGCGGGUGCUAACGUCCGUCGUGAAGAGGGAAAUAACCCAGACCGCCAGCUAAGGUCCCAAAGUCAUGGUUAAGUGGGAAACGAUGUGGGAAGGCACAGACAGCCAGGAUGUUGGCUUAGAAGCAGCCAUCAUUUAAAGAAAGCGUAAUAGCUCACUGGUCGAGUCGGCCUGCGCGGAAGAUGUAACGGGGCUAAACCAUGCACCGAAGCUGCGGCAGCGACGUUUAGGCGUUGUUGGGUAGGGGAGCGUUCUGUAAGCCGUUGAAGGUGACCUGUGAGGGUUGCUGGAGGUAUCAGAAGUGCGAAUGCUGACAUAAGUAACGAUAAUGCGGGUGAAAAACCCGCACGCCGGAAGACCAAGGGUUCCUGUCCAACGUUAAUCGGGGCAGGGUGAGUCGACCCCUAAGGCGAGGCUGAAAAGCGUAGUCGAUGGGAAACAGGUUAAUAUUCCUGUACUUGGUGUUACUGCGAAGGGGGACGGAGAAGGCUAGGCUGGCCGGGCGACGGUUGUCCCGGUUUAAGCGUGUAGGGGGAGUGACCAGGUAAAUCCGGUUGCUUAUCAACCCUGAGGCGUGAUGACGAUGCACUACGGUGCAGAAGCAGUUGAUGCCAUGCUUCCAGGAAAAGCCUCUAAGCAUCAGGUAACAUUAAAUCGUACCCCAAACCGACACAGGUGGUCAGGUAGAGAAUACUCAGGCGCUUGAGAGAACUCGGGUGAAGGAACUAGGCAAAAUGGUGCCGUAACUUCGGGAGAAGGCACGCUGGCGUUAGGUGAAAGGACUAGCUCCUGGAGCUGAAGCCAGUCGCAGAUACCAGCUGGCUGCAACUGUUUAAUAAAAACACAGCACUGUGCAAACACGAAAGUGGACGUAUACGGUGUGACGCCUGCCCGGUGCUGGAAGGUUAAUUGAUGGGGUCAGCCGCAAGGCGAAGCUCUUGAUCGAAGCCCCAGUAAACGGCGGCCGUAACUAUAACGGUCCUAAGGUAGCGAAAUUCCUUGUCGGGUAAGUUCCGACCUGCACGAAUGGCGUAAUGAUGGCCAGGCUGUCUCCACCCGAGACUCAGUGAAAUUGAACUCGCUGUGAAGAUGCAGUGUACCCGCGGCAAGACGGAAAGACCCCGUGAACCUUUACUAUAGCUUGACACUGAACAUUGAGCCUUGAUGUGUAGGAUAGGUGGGAGGCCUUGAAGUGUGGACGCCAGUCUGCAUGGAGCCAACCUUGAAAUACCACCCUUUAAUGUUUGAUGUUCUAACUCGGCCCCAUGAUCUGGGGUGAGGACAGUGUCUGGUGGGUAGUUUGACUGGGGCGGUCUCCUCCCAAAGAGUAACGGAGGAGCACGAAGGUUAGCUAAUCACGGUCGGACAUCGUGAGGUUAGUGCAAAGGCAUAAGCUAGCUUGACUGCGAGAGUGACGGCUCGAGCAGGUACGAAAGUAGGUCUUAGUGAUCCGGUGGUUCUGAAUGGAAGGGCCAUCGCUCAACGGAUAAAAGGUACUCCGGGGAUAACAGGCUGAUACCGCCCAAGAGUUCAUAUCGACGGCGGUGUUUGGCACCUCGAUGUCGGCUCAUCACAUCCUGGGGCUGAAGUAGGUCCCAAGGGUAUGGCUGUUCGCCAUUUAAAGUGGUACGCGAGCUGGGUUUAGAACGUCGUGAGACAGUUCGGUCCCUAUCUGCCGUGGGCGUUGGAAGAUUGAGAGGGGCUGCUCCUAGUACGAGAGGACCGGAGUGGACGAAUCACUGGUGUUCGGGUUGUCAUGCCAAUGGCAUUGCCCGGUAGCUAAAUUCGGAAGAGAUAACCGCUGAAAGCAUCUAAGCGGGAAACUUGCCUCGAGAUGAGUCUUCCCUGGGGCUUAAAGCCCCCUGAAGGAACGUUAAAGACUAUGACGUUGAUAGGCUGGGUGUGUAAGUGCAGCGAUGUAUUGAGCUAACCAGUACUAAUGAUCCGUGAGGCUUAACCUU